GGCUGGUUACUUUUAAUAAACUGCAGACAGGAAAGCAACUGAAAAGUAGAAUUUACUUACCCUUUGUUAAGAGACAUUUACAUUGUAAAGGAAAUCUCUGUCUGUAUAGGUGUCUCCCUCUCUGUACCAGGAAGAAGGGGGGAUGACCUUAUCUCUAGAAACUCUUAUCAAUGCAGAAUGGAAGGACUUAAAUCUGCAUAAUAAUCUUAUUCCUGUUUAUUGUGCUUGUCUGGUAACCUCCUGUAACUGACUUGCCCGACCCACAACAUCCUCCUUUGUCUUGAGCUGAAGAUGAUAUUUAAGGUGGGGGCUUCAGCCAUUUUGGCGAGUUGCUCAGCUUGCCUGAGCCUCUCUCAUGUAUACAUGUUAUAAAGCUCUGUUUAAUUUUCUCCUGUUAUUCUGUCUCAUGUGAAUUUAAUUCAUUCUCUGGCCAAAUGAACCCAGAGAGGGUAGAGGAAAUGUCUUCCUCCCCUACAAUAUCAUCUCGUAAGUAGCUUUUGGAUUUAGGCAUCAAAGCACUCAGAGUUUCUGAGUUCUAAGAGAUUUCAAUUUGUGUGGAUCUCAUGCUGUUUCUCUGCUUCCCUUGUGUUUCAUUUCCCAGUUGUAACUUUCUGAGCCACAUGCUGGUUCUUGCGGCUUCUAGAUCCAAAACCUGCUCAAGAAGGAGUUCCAGAAUUUCCACAUGUUGUUUUUUCUUCAGCUUUUCCCCUUGUUUCUAGUUGAACUGACAGGCAAUUACAGAAAAUAAUGUCUGUUAUUUGUACUUUUCAAAAAAAUUUCAGGUUUUCAUUUGACAAACAAAUGGGAAGCAAUAGGAUCUACUGGAGUCUAUGAGGAGGCCAUUUGGUGUCAGCCUAAUUCGGCCUGACAGUGUUUUUCCUGUCAAAAGGGCCUGACGUGGCCGUUGAGCACGCAUCGCAUCGUAGAUCCGCUUUAAACAUUUCCUAUGGCAAGAACAAAUGCCCUUAAGAGAAAGGUGCAACUUCCCCGCACAUUGGCCUUUCCUUAAGGAGAGGCAUCUUUCCUUAGGCUAGGAACGGAUGGCUGUGCUCACCUUUGACCAUCCAGCUCACCUGUGACCACCUAGGCCGAAACAACAGACCUGCCACCCAGCUGUGUCCGUCGAUCCCUGUGCCGACAGAGCAAUCUCGUGACUAUCGUCAAAGGGACCUUUCGAUCCUAUGUGAAGCGUCCUCCCUGGGGGUCUAGAAGCACUCUGUACACCCCACUUCUCGGGUGCCCUUUCUUCCUUCGGGAAGAAAGGCCCCAGGCCACAGUCCUCACAUUUUAGCUCAGAAUAAACUCACCUCAAUUUUCAUGGAUAGAUUGGUUCUGGAUUAUUUUUGUCGACACAUUAUAGUCCAAAAUGGUGAAUUUUGAGAAAUGUUAUGUGGGCACCUGAUGUUACCAGGGUAUAGAUUUGCAUUUACUUCAAUUUGUUAAAUAUUUAAAAUGAUAUAUAUAUAUAUAUUUAUAUUUUAAAUUAUAUAAUUCAGACAUUCCUGCGGACAGGAAUUUUAAGCUUUCCUUAGAAAGCAACCGAUAAGAGAGGAGAACGCUGACGUGUGAAUCCUUCGGGCCUCUUCCCUCGCUCCCUCUCUUCCUGCCUGCCUGCCUCAGGGGACAUCGUGGAAGAGCGGACACUCUGCCUUGGACGCUGGGGACACGACGAGGCGCCUGUGGUCAUAUGUGUGUGAGUGUGCACCACACGGCGGUGGCUAGAAGGGCUGUCCGGGCAGAGGGAACAGUGUGGACCGGUGGGUCCACGGGGCCGCAGAGGCGAGGUCUCAGCAGAGGCGCCGUCCUGUGCCUUCAUGGGCGCUGCCCUCCCGCCCUCUGUGCUCACGGUGGGCCCCAGCUGCCAGGCGCGGGCUCGCCUCUGGGCGCAGCCCUAGUCUCCCCAAUGCCCUUGGCCGGCGGGCCGUGGUGGCCCGGGGCUCUUCAUCAGCCCGGGAUGAAUCCAGGGGGCGCUACGGGGCGUCCUGCAGAGAACUCGACGUGAGAGGAAGACCUCCUGCACAGAGAGGUGCGGACCAUGCCAGGAGCCGCUCAGCACGAGUUCCAGAAGCACGGGAAGCUGUCAUCGAAUUCUGCCCUGGCAUAGAGGACAAACGCCCGCAAGUGCCUGGUGUCCUGCACGUAUUGGAACAGGAUCCGGAGCUGCCGAAGGCGAUUCAAGCAUCUUGAGGAAAAGCUGGGCAGAACGCUUUCUUCUUCCCAGGGCCAGUCUGUCCCUUGAACCGAAAGCUCGUGGUCGGUGGUUGAGAGUCGGGGGCUGAGAGAAGCCACAUCUUCUCCAGACAGGAGGUGCAGACGGAGACGGGAACCGCGGAAGCGGCGGUUAAACAGGAGCGUCCGGCCCUGGCCCCCGCGCGUCG
rnacentral:lncRNA from 1 species